UACGGGGGGGGGCAAGCGUUGUUCGGAAUUACUGGGCGUAAAGGGCUCGUAGGCGGCCAACUAAGUCAGACGUGAAAUCCCUCGGCUUAACCGGGGAACUGCAUCUGAUACUGGAUGGCUUGAGUUCGGGAGAGGGAUGCGGAAUUCCAGGUGUAGCGGUGAAAUGCGUAGAUAUCUGGAGGAACACCGGGUGGCGAAGGCGGCAUCCUGGACCGGCACUGGACGCUGAGGAGCGGAAAAGCCCAGGGGGAG
rnacentral:rRNA from 1 species